GGUUUAGGUUAAUACUAAGCUCUCUCAAGUCUCCAUCCUCUCCCAAAAACCCUAAUACCCAGAUCCCUUCCAUCCAUAGCCGCCGGCCACCACUCUCACCCUCUCUCCUACCCGCGUGGCCGCCACACAACCACCGUCAUCAUCUUUCCAUCUCCACCAUCAUUCUCUUCUUCACGACGCUGGCCGCACAUGGUUAUUGCCGCGGUGGCACAAGACACAACAGUGAGGAGGCGCGGUGGGGGGUUUUGGUCAUGGAGCGGUGGCUGAGGGUCUGGUGCGAAGAAAUCCCCUCCCUUUUAUCUCCCUGUCUUCUUCUCGGCUCUGUUCUGGGUGGGGAUUUUUAAGUUAGGUUUCUGGGUUCGUGCUUGUUUGUUGGGUAAUUGAUGGCUUAGUGUGGUUGGGUAUGGAGGCCGGUGUCGGUUGUUUUCCGAUCUGGGGUUUCUGGGUUCCAAUCUGGUAUUUCAGGCUUAGUUCACCAAACCCAUCAUCACCCAUCACCCAAAUGGUGCCCCGGUGCUCAUGGAGGAACCCACAGAUUUUUAGAUAAAGAGAAAGUGGAGCAAUGGAGCAGAGCGAUGACGAUCUGGCUCACCUUCCUUUCUUCUUCUUCCUUUCAUGAUUUGUAUGAUUUAUGGGUUUGGGGUUGAACCUGGGUGGGUGUUGCUUGAAGAUGAAAAGCAUUGAUGAAAGUUGAAGAUGGUAAAACUGAAGAAUGGGUUGGAAGAGAAUGGAAGAUUGAUGGUGAUGAUGAAGAAAUUCUCGGUUGUAAAUUGAAAUCAAAAUCAUGAAUGGGCAUAUGUUGAUUCUUGUCUUCUAAACAUGUAAUUUGGAUCUGAAAUGUUAAAUCACGUUGAUCUUACCUUCUCCCAGUUUUGAUUUUUUUUUUCCUAUUAUUGAAGUUUCUUAAAAUUAUUAAUUAUUAUGUGCACUCUUGUGAGUUUUCAAAGUCCGGGGAACGAAGAAGAUGGAUGAUGAAGGGAAAGUUUGUGCAGCCUUAAGGACAACUUAGUCAUUCAAUAUUUCAUUGUACACAAACUCUCAAAUUAAGCAUAGGUAGUUUUGUAAAAAUGCAAAUAAUUUUCACCAUAUUGAAUCACAGCCGUUGGUUCCUUUAUCAACUUAGCUGUCUUUUACACUCCCAAAUCACUUACUUACGUUUAGCUUUCCAAUAAGGCAAUAACACUGAGACUUUUCGUGACUCUUUUCCUUUCGAAACGUAUCUUAUAUUCACCGUUCUGUUCCUUUGGGAUUCACCAUUUCACAAUCUUCGUGAUUCACCUUCCAUUAGGGCUCGGCGAAACGACGGGGAUGCAUCAGUUAUGAAGGCGUCGUCGUUCCAUUCACCUCUUCCGGUUUCCAUUCAAUGCUGCUUGAAAUCCCACCCUGCAGUUCAACAGUUGUUCCUUUAACAGUGGAUGGGUUCUGGCUGAUGGAGGUGUGGUGGAAAAGAAGCGACCGAAGGUGCGUUUGGUGUUGCCGACUUGAGGAGGCGAUGACAAGGUCUUCCAUGAGGGAAACCUGAAAAGGGGGCAGAUGACUUCUUCUGUGGGGUUUUUGCUUUGUUGCUGUUAAGCUUUGAUAGAAUGGUGCUAGGGAAGAAAUCUCCUCCAUUUCAACCUCGAAGUGCUUAUGGAUGACAGGUAAACAAAGUCUUACAAAAUGAUUGGACUGAUCGGAAGUGUGUCAAGGUGUUGCUGAACUGAGGCAACACUAUACUAUCGAAACUGUCAGAGGAGGGCAUAGAUUUGUGCGUGAUAGUGGUUCUGAGCUUCUUCCAAAUACUGCAAUUGAGCCAUGUCGAUACAUUUUCUCACCAUCAUCGCAGAUGCCGAGGUUAACCUCCCCUCUUCCCCUUUGAUUCUCUCAGCUCAACUCUUAUUCCUUUCGACUCUCACGCGAACCAUCAGAAAUUGACAAUGCUUUGUCCUUAUCCCUUUCUCUCUCUUAAAUUAACAUUAAGAUUUCUCUACUCCUUUGUGCAACAUUGAUCUGCUACUAUAUUGAUUAAUCAUUGGAGAAAAGCAUACCAAUGGAACAGGUAUGAUGAUAAAGUAUAGUUGUGAUGAAAUUCCGUCGGCUCCUCACAGUAUUUCUAAAGGUAACAUUUGUGUUUGUGCAUGUCUGUGUGUUCUGAAUCAAAUUUGGUUCCUUUAUCAGUUUGGGAGUCACUGUUUUGUUAUGGAUAUGCAGAGUGUUAGGGAGAGAGGUUUGAAGCUUUGUUUUCUUUAACCUGCUUCGUAAUUUUGAUUCUGUUGGCUACAAAUGUUAAAUUACAAAACAUAAUAGGAAAAUUACCCAAAAGGAGAUGAAUGAAUUAAUUAUUUGGUUAAUCUGUGGAGGGUUAAGAAUAACAUUCCCUGAGGAAAAGAGUUUGGAAUGUUAUAUGACUGAGUAGGCAAAACAGAAUUGAAAACUGAAUGAGAGAGAGAGAGAGACAGAGAGGGAGAUAGCAUAUCAUAUUUUUCUUUUCAUUUCGUUACUUCUCCUUUGCUGCUAUUGUUUGUUUGUUUUUUUUCCUAUUUCGUUACGAGGCAACAUGGUUCACAUCAUUUUGCUGCAUAUAUUAGCUUUUAAUUAGAAAGAGUCCUGGAAGGUUAGUUCUAUUUUUUCAGGUUAGUCCUGUAUUUCUAUGAUUGGCUACAAAAGGUACGUGAGUUAGAAGCACAAUCACACAAUAACAGAAAUGAUGUUGAAAUGAGAUUCCAAACAAAAAUUCUUACCACUUCAUAGUAUACCUUUAUUGUAUUGAUAUUUAACCAUUGCGAUUUCUAUUUUGAUUGCUAAAUUUAACCACUUAAACGGGAGUUACGGUUUAGAAAUAAAGUCACUUUUAAUUAGCUAAUGAAGGUUUCACAGUUACAAAAAUGAAUGGUCAUAAUGCAUUAAGUGUGUUUAAGGGUCAUUAUUAUUUGUUAUGUAACCAGUAAGCAUUAGCUUUGCCUAUUUAGUAUUUUUAAUUGAGGUGUUAGUGUAUUGGUUAUGAAUUACUGUGUUAAUAUGGAGUGUCUUCUCACCUGCAUGUGUAGGAUAUACGAAUGAAGUGAAAAAAAGCUUUAGAGCAUAGAGUUCCUGAUAUCACAGUCACAGUGAAUCCUAAAAAGUGAGAAUAUUUUUUAUAUUUUAAGGAGGGUUUCUUUGAAAUCUGCCAAGAAGAAGGCGAGAAGUUCAUGAGCCUCAUGGUAAGCAAUUUCUGAGUGUAGUUUGUAGACGGUUUUUGAUUGUAAUGUUGUGGUUGGAGAACAACUUCAAAGAAAGUCAUGCUUGCCUGGAGUUAUGAUAGAGACAUGGCCCAAUGCAUAAACUGAAAAGAGAUUGGUCUAUUGCAUGGCUUUUCUUAGUGCUGUUGUAGUUCUUUAGCCAGCACUAUUCUGAUAUGCUAAGAUUGAUGUUAUUUGACAAGGACUGGUGCUAUUCAAAUUUUUAUUUCUUAGUGAAGACCUUACACAAGGGGGGUUUCUUUCUACUAGGACUGGUGCCAUCAUCUUCUACUUGAACUGAUAUUUUAAUGUGAGUUACAAAUGAGCCCAGAAGGAGAUACUGUGAAGCAUACACAAGGGGAACAAGAACAUGUUUUGAUGUUAUCUUUCCAUUUCUGUCUUUCACUUUCACUCCCGUUUCAACUGAGGGAUGUUGUGGAUGAGUAGAUGGAUUCUGCCUAUUUUGAUCUUUAAUAAACUGAUAUUGCCUGUUUUGGAUUAUGAUGUGUGAAAGCUUUUCAUUUAACUAUUUACUUUAAGUGAUGUGAAUUCCUUUCCAGGUGAACCAUAUGCAGAACUUCUCUGAUUGAUAACUCUGUUAUUGAGGAGGCCAUAGGUAAGUAUGGAAUUAUGAGACCGUAUCCAUGAGAUCAUGACGGUUAGGCCUCAUUUUAAGGAGGCAAACAAACUUCCUUUGGCCAUUUAAGUUCAAGGCUCCUUUGUCGCGCUUAAAGAAGAGGAACCACUAUGUUGAAGGAGGUAAUGCCGGAACCAGAGAUAAUUAUGUCAAUGUGUUAACCAGUGCAUGAAUUAAGCAGUGGCAAUGUCCAGAGAUUAGGGCUAAUCAAUAUUUUGUAGGCUUUAGAACAGGAUCAGACAUUUUCAAUUUGAAAUUUAGGAAAUAUAACACUUUUCUGGCUUUCAAAAAUCAUUUUGCUAUCUUCAAAAAAAAAAAAUCAUUUUGCUAAGAUUGAAUUUGUUUUCCAU